rnacentral:rRNA from 2 species
UUUGUGAUUCAUGACUGGGGUGAAGUCGUAACAAGUAACCGUAGGGAACCUGCGGUUGGAUCACUCCUUACCUUAAAGAA